UUUGGGUACCAGCAGGGUAGAAUAAAGUGUAAAGGCGAGAGGGGGCAAUGAGACCCCUCCCCUCCAUUCUAUGUGUCCAGUCUUAGGCCCCUGCUGCCCUCCUGGCUCUCAGUGGAGAGAAAAGAGGAAAUAAAUUUGGACCCAGCCUUGAGAUCCUGGAAGAGCUCCUUUGGAUUUAGCCUUGGGAUCCUAGCAUCUCCUCACAAAAUUAUGAUCUUCGAAACAGAAGGGUAAAUACAGAGUGGCAGAACCCUCAGAUCCCUCCUGACUUCUACAGCUGGGUAGAUGUUAGACAUGAAGCCAGUGGCUGAGUCUGGUGGGAGAAGCUGCCCACCUUAACAUCACCCUGAGCGCAGCA
rnacentral:lncRNA from 1 species